UACGUAGGGUCCGAGCGUUGUCCGGAUUUAUUGGGCGUAAAGAGCUCGUAGGCGGUUCCGUAAGUCAGAUGUGAAAACUCAGGGCUCAACCCGGAGACGCCAUCUGAUACUGCGGUGACUGGAGUCUGGUAGGGGAACACGGAAUUCCUGGUGUAGCGGUGAAAUGCGCAGAUAUCAGGAGGAACACCGGUGGCGAAGGCGGGUCUCUGGGCCGGUACUGACGCUGAGACGCGAAAGCGUGGGGAGCGAACAGG
rnacentral:rRNA from 1 species